GAAAGCCCUGCUCCAGCUCGGAGACCUGCAGUGAGGGCCUUCCCAGGGCCUGUGGGAUGCUGGGGGCAGGGAUUCUGCUUUUUGUCCCUGGGCUAUAUCUCACUAGCCGUUUGCUGGGAAGGCAGGCGGGGACCUGGACGCCCGCACACCCUCGAGGGCCUCCAGUCUGCAGGUCCCUAGCCCGGGUCCCAGGCAGUGUGCAGUGUGGACCUGCUUGGCAAGGACUCUUUUUAGACUCCACAUGUUAAGUGAUAUUUCUCAAAAGAAGACAUCCAAGUGGUGAACAGAUCUAUGAAAAAAAAAAAUGCUUGUCAUCACAAACCAUCAGGGAAAUGCAAAUUAAAACCACAGUGAGACAUCACCUGCCCUGUUCGAAUGGCUUAUCAAAAAGAUGAAAGACAGCAAGUGUUGGUGAGGGAACUGAGGAGCAGAGUUUCAAUACUUGAUCCAAUGCCAUGCAGCUGGCACAAGGUAGCUCAAAGAUUCCAAUUGAGGAGUUUCCUUCUGGCGCAGAGCUGUCCUGCUGGUUCCUGGAUCGUGGAGGACAUGAGGAGACUCUCUCUCCGGACCCUCUCAUUCUCAGCUUCACGCCGCCUGGGAAAAAAGCUAUUGAACUGGUAGCAGUCCAUUAAGCAUGGACCACAGCACAGUUGUGUUAUUUAUUGGCUCGAAAAGAGGAAAAUUGUACCAAAUGAUAUGUCAGGAGUCUGAAUCCCAGGCAACUUGCUCAAUGCUUUUACAGGAUGGGCUCAUGAAAUCUAUGCACACGUGAACACAAGAAUAGAUCAAGAAAGCAAGAUACACGGAGGGAAGGGUGCUUCCCAAGGAGCCCAGGAGAUGUCUGAGCACAGGGAGAAGAGCUGCCUGGGCCUCACAGCUGCCAGAGUGAGUGCUGAACACCCUGAGCCCAAAGAGGACUGUGUCCACUCACAGGACGGUCAUGGGUUUUCCUUUAUUUGUACUCUGCUGGCACUGAGGUUUCUUUUCUAAGCCACUGACCAGGAAGGCUGGGGUGGAUCCAGGCCACACAGGUCAUGCUGAAGUACACACACAUGGUUGUGGUUGUGGGGGGGUGUCUCUAAAUGAUUGCUUCAUAUCACAGGACACAGCCAGGGCUCUCUGCAAGGUUGCAGCAAUUCACAGAGCACCAAAGAAGCCAAGAGAAUUAGGGGUGGAAGUGGGGAAAGGCCCUUCAUCUGGGGGAUGGUGGAAGGUACAGGAAGAAGGCCUAGAGAAAGCCCUGGAGAGGGGAACCAUGUCUUGUGCAGCCAUCAGUGCACCCAUCAAACAUGGAGCCCAUUGGGUUUCCUUGAAAAUGGAUGACUUAUGUGUAUGUUUUUAAUAUCUCUCUUUUUCCUUUUUUAAUAAAAAAGUAUUAUCAUAGAGCAGACAGAGUUUACAGCCAAA